GAAAUACACUCCCCAACUAAAUAUAUCCCCACCUCCCAGCCCAGGCUUAGCUCACAUCCUACUGCUGCUUUUAAUACUGAAAAGUGUAAUUGGGACCCUAUAAAAUGAUGGCCUCAACACUGCCUUGCAUGGAGGUAGCAGAUAGCAGCAAGUCUUCUCAGUGAAGCUUAUCCCAUGCAUUCAUGCCCUCACCAAUCUCCAGUUUUUUAAAUGUCUACCCUACUUAGAAACUGUCUUCUGGUGUUUUCUAACCUGUAUGUUCUUUGAGGGCAAGGACCUUGACUAAUAAUUUUACUGUGAUCUCCAGUACCAACAAAAUUGCUGAGUAGAUGAUAGGAACUCAAUGAAUACUCACUGAUUUGUUAAUUUACCAGCAUCUUCUGUCUUUCCUUAGCACUGAGCAUCAGUCAUCAAAUAAGAAGUCACUCCCUACUGGCUGAGAGUCUGCCUUUGACUGCCUCUUUACUUGAUCUCUACCUGGCAUCAUAGGGGUUUUCUUUCACCAAAUUUGCACUACCCUGUGAGGCUUUUUCUUCUCACCACCUUGUCCCGAAUUGCUUCUCCUGGUUUUUGUCACAUCCUUCUUCUCUGGUACCCCUGAUACUCACCUGCAGAGUUAUGCUGAUGGUAGUUAAUGAGCUCAGGAAUGGUGCUGAAAAGGUGCUUCUCUGCCAGGUAAUACUGGCUCUGAGGUGUGGAACACACAACAUAAUGGCGUAUCACCCCUUGAGGGUCCCUGAAGAAGUGGAUGCUGAGUCAGCAACUUGGAAACAAGGGUCAGCAGGACCCAAGAAGUAAAGUGAAAUGAAUUUUGAGUUUAAGGGACAGAGGUAGUAGGAGGGAUACACCAUUAAGAAGCUAUUGGGGGUACUAGGAGAGGCACACCAUUAAAGCACCUCUGUCCUUUGUCCCCAGGGCCUUGAAACAGUAACACUUACCCUGUAGAUUUAGCAAACACAGACACAGUAUAUUUUCCAGCUUUGCUGGAGUCUCUGACAAUGAAACCUCCUUCUUUCCCCUGAAACAAUGAAAAAGAAGCUGACUUGAAGGAGGAAGUGGCACUCACAUCUGCAUUCCACCUGCCCAAACUUGAGAGAAAAAGUGAAGCCCUAAUCUUACUGCCAAGUUCCAUGUUUGAACUGCAGCCUCAUUGUUUUUGAUAGUGAAAAGUGCAAUUGAUAUCCCCCUCCAUAAAAUGAUAGUCUUGACACUGCCUUGCUUUGAGGUGACAGAGAACAGCAAGCCCUCACUUGUUGUGCAAGGAGAAUGCCAUUUGCCUGUGGUCACACACUUACCUCUUGCUUCAGCAGUUGCUCAGCUUGACUUCGAGUCAUGUGUUUGGAAUACCACCUGUAAAGGGAGAAUGCUUCAGUGGCUCUUCGGCUGUGGUGUUAGCAGGUGGCAGAGGUGUCCGGGGAUGGGAUCAGAGAUAGAGCACUCAAGGACAAUCCAUUUUCAUGAUUAGGGAGAAAGGACAGUGACAAAAGAUUGGCAUUUUCACCCUUUCAAAUGUUUCCUAUCAAGUUGUCAAAUCCUUUUCUUUGAGUGGUUCUUCUGGGUUGGAGUGGGGGUGGGGCAUGGUGACCUCUGUAGCUCUCAUAAGCAAAGGGUGUUUGGGGGUGAGAGUAAGACAGAGCCACUGAGGGUGGUGGCAUCAUUUGACCCAGUUGGCACUGACUUUAAUAAGUACCUUGAAAUAAAUUUGUUGAAAAUAUAAAAAUGUAUACACUAUCUUUGGUUCUUCUGGCAAGACUGUGUGCUGGAAACAUAAGAAUACUCACUCAUACAUUUCUAUGGAGUCUUCUGCUUCGGUGACAUAGUUACUAGGGAUGUAGCCUUCCUGCCUGUAGAGGAGACAAUGUGGUAGAUCAUCCAGCACUUCCUAUCCUUCAGUGGGGAGACAGAUUCAUAUGCCCAUAUCUCUGGGCUCACAACCAAUCUCAAAUGGAGGUCUAUAAACCACACCCCUCCAUCAAAGAGAAUCAUGUCACUGAUGCGUGGCUAGGCCAGUGAGGUGUGUAGCUUUGCACAUGUGGCACUGACACAUAUGUCAGGUGUGCAUGACAACAUAUGGGCCAGACUCUACAGGCUCAGAGGUGUGGCCAUAAGUAGCGCUGUACUCUGGGAAGUACUUGCUGGAACAGUAUAUUCCCUUUGGUGUGGGAAGGACAAUUUCUGAUUGGGAUACCGAGUAGGGGAAUUAUGCUGCAAGAUUUUGCACCUGUGUGGAGUGGACGGGCACAGAGUUGUAGAAGACCUGGAGUGGACUCACCCAUUUUUAUCCCGUGCUCUCCACCAGGCCCAUCGCAUUUUUGGCUGUCUGAGAGCAGCAGAGAUACUGCCCAUCGAUCCAGAAGCAAGGGUGGUAUUUCUGUACCAGAUCACUGUUAUACCGGAUUACUGUAACAGGAGAAAAGAGAGAAGGAGAUCACAUCUGACAUUCUGAAGAAUUCACCAUUUGCAUGUUUUCCUCUUUGACUAAGAAGAAGAAACUGAGCCUCAGAAGAAGCUUGUUGGCCUACUUGCCAGAAGUCACCCAGCUUGUGAGUGGUAGAAGAGAACUUGGAAGAAGCUUCUCUACUCUGACUUCAAGAGCUCUCAUGAUCAUCUAAUUUUUGGAAUUAGAUAUUUUAUGCUUAGGAUUUGAAAUAUUGCAAUAACUAUUGAAUUCCACACCACACCACCCUUGUAAUUGAUGUAAAGGGUGGGACUCUUUUAUAGAUAGGAAAAUAGAGGUGUCUGCAAUUACAGAAUUGCACUAGAGAGAUAGUGGUGGAACUGGGUUGAAACUCUUAGUUUAGCACAUUAUCUUUUAUUCAUAUAAUGGAAUAUUAAACUCCAUUGUAUCAGUAAUAUUGGAAAAAAUGCAAUCUAUCAUCCUUCCACCCUGUCGUCCUUCUUGCCUCCUCCCUCCUCUCUUUCCUUCCUUCCCUUUCACCUCUUCUUUUUCUUUCUCUCACCUCACUCCUUCCAUCUAUUCUUCUUUUUCCUUUUCUGUCUCCAUCUCUCUCUUUCCUCACUUCUCUCUCUCUUUUUCUUCCUUCCCCUCUUCCUUUCUUCUUUCUUUGGAAACUAGUUUAUUUUCCAAAUAAUUCUCACCGUUUUUAAGCUGGUGAAUCCAACGCUUCCUCAGUUCUUCAGUUGGGGAGAAGACAUAAAGAGGCCCUUCAUCAUAUACAACCUGAAGCAAUGGACACACAGACUUCAGCAGUUAGGAUUCAGAAAAAAAAGAAAAAUGUCUUUGAAGGAACUAAUGUUAAGCUACAAAUCUGUAUAUUCAUAGUGGGAAACAAAGAAAGGUAGUCUUCAGCCAGCCUUGGAGCUGAGGUCAUGUAAACUAUCUGAAAAAUUCCUGAACAAUUCAUAUCCAGGGUUGUAAGACUUAGAAGCUCUUAGCUUUUUAAAUAGUCCUCCAUCCUCUUGACUUGUGUUUCAAUUUGUGUGUCAACUUAGUUCAUAAUAUUUCCCCCAGCCUUGAUGGAGACUUGGAUUUGUGUUUAUUCAACAAAGUAUAUUUUAUGAUCUGAUUAAACCUUGAGUUUGUAUAGAAGAGAAAAUGAAGUAAUUAUUUGUGUAACUCAAGUCUUGAUUGUUACAUAUGGAUUGUUCACUUGGAUAAUAUGAAGCAAAAUUUUAACUCAUGGCCAAUUUUUCUCCUACUGCCUAGUGGCCUCCCCUUGCCAAAAUAAACCAAGUUAGGAACCACAAAAGGGUAAAGUAUAUAUUUACUUCAAAAAGAGUAAAGUACAUAUUAAGCAUUGUCAUCAAAUCAAACAAUAUUUUUUAACAACUUCAAAUGUACGAGGCAUUGUUGUGUUAAGUGUUCUGGAGGUGCAUGAAACAUGUUCCAAACCUCACAGAUGUAAUAGACAUCACAUAGUGGAUUCUGAAAUCAAAUGUAAAUUAAUUUGAAUUACUUGCUAUUUAGUAUCAUCCACUAGCCCAGCCAAACAACAUCAUCUAGUUGAAAGACAACAAUAAUAAAAACUAUGUCUAAAACACUCCUAUUUCACAGGUUUUGUAAACUAUGAUACAGUCAGGGACAUAAACAAGAUCCUCACACAUCUUUCUUUUUGCUUGUUAGUCUUGCUGUGCUCAUAAAUCCAUGACAGAAAGCCCCCUCCCCUGAGACUUUCCACUUCCUUUUCUGGCUUUCACUGUUUGCAGAGACUGCUAUAUUCACAACAUGUGACCUACAGAGUUUUUGGGACACAAGCAAGCCAAAUUGAAGAUUGAAUCUGAAGCUCUUGCUCUCCUUCAUGGAUUACAAUGGAUCUAUGAAACAGAUGUCUAUGUGGCUCUUCAGUUGUUUCAGACUAGAAUAUAAUUUAGGUUUAUGUAUAAGUCUAAUAAGUCUUCCCCAUACAGAACUUCCUAAUACUACUCUUUCCCUCCCCUUUUUCUGUCUUUUCAACCCACAUGACCACCAUUAUACAGAUAGGCAGAACCAGAAGGAAGUGAAAUGCUCACUCAACAAACAGAGGAUCAUUCUCAAUGCAGUUACCAAGGACAAAACACACCAUAAUAGAAUUACUGCCAUUAUGGAUUCUCUUUGAGGUGAAAGGACUAAAAGGUACUAUGUUAAAUUGGGAAAAUAGAAAAGCAAACACUCUUAGCCCAUGUCAGUCUCAUUUUUCACUUCAGCUUCCUUGUUUUCCUCGAAUUCUGUUCACUGGGACCUAGUAUUCUUCACUGUGUCCUGCAACCUAUCCCUAAUUAUUACAUUACAGGUACCUUUGAGAGCUGGUGAGAGAAAAUACCUUACCUGGAAGGGGUAAGGGAACCUUUCAAUGAUUGAAAUCUGCUCCAUUUCACUGGACUCUUCACCCCUUCUCUGCAAUGAAAGAUGAAAGCAUAUCCCACUGUGGAAAACAGUGUGGAAGUCCCUCAAAAAGUUAAAAACAGAGCUACCAUACAACCCAGGAAUCUCACUACUGGACAUUUACCCAAAGAAUACAAAAACACUAGUUUGAAGGGAUAUGUGCACCCUGAUAUUUAUAGCAGCAUUACUUAAAAUAGCCGAGAUAUGGAAGUAGCCAAAGUGUCCAUCAAUUAAUGAAUGGAUAAAGAAGAUAUGUUAGGGGAUCCCUGGGUGGCGCAGCGGUUUGGCCCAGGGCGCGAUCCUGGGGACCCGGGAUCGAAUCC